rnacentral:misc_RNA from 1 species
UCUCCGUAGGUGAACCUGCGGAGGGAUCAUUACAGAGUUCAUGCCCUACCGGGUAGAUCUCCCACCCUAUGUUAUUAUUACUUUGUUGCUUUGGCGGGCCGUUAGGCUCCGGCCCGACUACCGGCCCCGGCUGGUAGCGCCCGCCAGAGGACCCAAAACCCUGAAUAUUAGUGUCGUCUGAGUACUAUAUAAUAGUUAAAACUUUCAACAACGGAUCUCUUGGUUCU